ACUCCCAAACCCCUGUGAACAUACCUAUACGUUGCCUCGGCGGAUCAGCCCGCGCCCCGUAAAAAGGGACGGCCCGCCCGAGGACCCCUAAACUCUGUUUUUAGUGGAACUUCUGAGUAAAACAAACAAAUAAAUCAAAACUUUCAACAACGGAUCUCUUGGUUCUGGCAUCGAUGAAGAACGCAGCAAAAUGCGAUAAGUAAUGUGAAUUGCAGAAUUCAGUGAAUCAUCGAAUCUUUGAACGCACAUUGCGCCCGCCAGUAUUCUGGCGGGCAUGCCUGUUCGAGCGUCAUUUCAACCCUCAAGCUCAGCUUGGUGUUGGGACUCGCGGUAACCCGCGUUCCCCAAAUCGAUUGGCGGUCACGUCGAGCUUCCAUAGCGUAGUAAUCAUACACCUCGUUACUGGUAAUCGUCGCGGCCACGCCGUAAAACCCCAACUUCUGAAUGUUGACCUCGGAUCAGGUAGGAAUACCCGCUGAACUUAAGCAUAUCAAUAAGCGGA
rnacentral:rRNA from 1 species